rnacentral:rRNA from 1 species
UACGGGGGGGGCAAGCGUUGUUCGGAAUUACUGGGCGUAAAGCGCACGUAGGCGGACUCUUAAGUCGGUGGUGAAAUCCUGGAGCUCAACUCCAGAACUGCCUUCGAUACUGAGAGUCUCGAGUCCGGGAGAGGUGAGUGGAACUGCGAGUGUAGAGGUGAAAUUCGUAGAUAUUCGCAAGAACACCAGUGGCGAAGGCGGCUCACUGGCCCGGUACUGACGCUGAGGUGCGAAAGCGUGGGGAGCAAACAGG